ensembl:lncRNA
UCUCAAACAAGAAAGAAAAUGACUUAAUAACUUAAAAGAUGGUCUACCAGUUUGACCAGUUUGGCCUGUGUUUUGGCAGGGCACACCCAGCUGGAUUUUCACCAGGGAUUGCUGAGCUUCUUGAAAUUUAAUCAGGCUUUGAGAGGUUUGGAUGGAGGGCACGGGGCUGGUGUCUGGGUGUAAGUUAGCCAAGAUCAUCAACGCCACUUAUCGGAGCUGUAAGCUACUAUUUUACUCAUGGCUUUUUCAGCUGUGAAUUCUUACACUGACUAUCGCAAUAUUUCUAUUAGAAAUUACAUUAAGAUACACAUUUUCCACAUAAAUGUGAAUGG